CUUAAAAUGAUGUUUGAAUUUCUUCACCAGAAAUAACUGUGUUGAUCAAACACAUGAGAUUUUUUUCACCUGAGC